UUUAUUAGUUGCUAGGAGGAAGCCAUGAGGCUGGAGUGGACUCCUUGGGAACAGGAACUGUUUCCUCACUAGGGGAAGACAAAGGAGCUGGGCGCUCAGGAGGGAGGGGCUCUGCAGCAGCUGAAGCCCAUGACCCAGCCCCUCCUCAGAGCCAGCUGGUCUUCAUAAAGGAGCUCUUGAUUCUUCCUUAAAGGUUUUUUUCCUCCAAGGAUGGGGGAUGAAGCAGGGGAAACUUGACCUCUUUCCUUGGCAUGGGAACUCACAUUCCCUGCCCCUCCUGCCCCACGUGAAAUUUACAGUCAUGUCUGAAGCUUCUUGAAGUGGAAACCAUUCGUGAAGAAAUGGCAAGAAAACCAUCUCCUGAAGAAUUUCCCUGCGUUGCAGAUGACUUCCUGAGCCAACAGAAAGACAUGUGUCUCACUCUGUCACCCAGGCUGGAGUGGAGUGGAGUGAUCCUCAGCUGGGACUACAGGGACCCUACCACCCGCCUCAGAAAGGAUGGUCCUCGCCUAGCAGUCCCUCCCUCGACACCAUUCGGGCAGGAGCCAGAGCCUGCUCCAUCUCUUCUAGGCCUUCCCGCCGGUGUCCCGCGGCCAAACCUGCUGCAGUAGCCGCUCGGAGCACUGAGCCACCAGUCCUUCCAUCCCGUCAGCGUCUCACUCGCCAAGUGGACGGAAGCGGAAAAGGUUAACCUCUCCCGGAAGCGGAAACCCUCUCCGGUCCGCUGUCACGUCGGACUGGGUGCCGCCGCCUCUGCUGCCUCCUGGUGGGAUCCAAGAAACACUACGAGGAGAACCCGUUGGGGAUGUCGGCCAGAGAGGCUGCAGCCCAGGGAUAUUUGGGGAAACAACUGAAUGGUGGUUUGCUGGUAAAUUCAACUCCAUGGCUGGAAGAGACUCUUGCCUUCUGCAGAGGUGGUCUGGUUCUCCCCACAAACGUCCUGACAGCUGAAGUGACGCUGAGAUGUGCUGCUCCGGGUGGGAGGAUUUGCUCCAUGUAGCUUUUCCCAUACACAGGAAGGGUGUUUACAGCUCUGCUUCAUAGCACCUGAUGCUGCAGGGGUGUGAGGGGUGACCCGUGCUGGGAGAACUGAGCACAGAUGAAUGUGUUGCUGAGAAGGAAUUCCGUAACACAUGUGCUCUUCAGAGUUUUUAUUGAGUCCAAAUGGACUGCAAAUACAGUCCUCUGCUGCCUCCCGGGCCAAUGAAUUCAGGCUCCAAGAUCCCCAGAACACCCCCAUUCUGUCUCCAUCUCUUACAUCUGCUUCCCUUUGCAGGUUGGCCUCAUUUUCCUAAUCCCAUUGCCCCCAUUGAAGCAGGAGCAGCUGCAAACAAACCUCUCAAACACCGAACAGGGAAGGAAGUUAAGGUAUUUUCACCUGCUGCUCAGCUAGGAGCUGCAGCAGGUGAAAACCCAAACAACUGAGCUCUUCCACAAAGAAAAUCCUUGCCCUUUUAAAGGCUUAUAAUUCUAGAAAUUACACGUGAAAGGGUCUUGAUCCAUGAAGUAGGUGUGGGGUACGUGACUAGGUGGGGAUUUGAUCAUGUUUAAGAAAAAACAAUGCCUUCUGGAAAGAUUCCUCCAUGCCAUGCCUGCGAUCUAUAGGAGUGUGAUUAAGAAUGGCGCCCGGUCUGCUAGCCUUUACUUCUAUUGAAAUGCAAUAUAGGAAAGGGCUCUUAGAAGCCUAAGAGAAUUAAAGGUCUCUUUCCUCACCAUGAAGCUGGAGCUUGGAAAGAGAAACUCUCAUCUCUAACCUGUGAGUGGAAAAUGCUAGGGAAGGGUUCUGAAUGGCUUGGCUGUGCCCCAUGCCUCUCCUUGGUCUAGUCAUGGGAGCCAAAGAGAUGGGUCACUUACAGCCAGCUUGGGCCAUGUGCCCCAUUGCUGUGGCCAGUGCCCUUAACAGAAAAGAUCACGGGAUCAGCAAGGAGGGCAGCCUCAUCAAAGCUCAGAGCUGUGUAGGCACGGGGGCCACAGAGCAGCAUGAGACCGUCCUCGCGCUCUACAACCUGGUACAAGUGAGUUGGGGAAGAUGUUGAUUGAUACUCAUAUGAAGACAUUAUGAAGUCAACCCUUAAUGUGUCUCGUGGAAUUCAAUGGAAGGAGAGAGAACAUCAGAGAUUGAUGCCAUGGGGCAGGAGGAAGCCCCAGGCCAGUGGUGAGAAAUUGGGCUGGAUACCAGCUAUCCAGGGAGGACUGGGUAUCAAAGAUCCUGGAAGCCACAGGGGGAAGAAGAGUAGAUUCUCCAUCACUGUAGGUUCCUUAUACAUGAGAAGAGACAGCCAGGUAAGGAGUAUGCUGGGGAGAAGGGGAAGAGCCUCAGCAGCAAGUGAAGGUGGCGUUGCUCCCUCCAUCACCUCCCCGAGUCCCCAGUGGCCUGGAGAGGGCCAUGAAUUUCAGCGUUCCCUGUGCAACUUACCAGUAGGGUGCUGUCCUCACCAUUUUGCCUGUCUCUGCCUGGGCUUCACUCACUUUAUACCAGUGGAGAUCUCAAACUGCAGCAUGCAUAAGACUUACAGAGGGAACAAGGGUAAAACACUGGUGCUGGGGACCGUCCCAGGGUGGGUAGGAUAGUUUAGUGGGUCUAGAGAGGGGCCCAACAGUCUUCGUUUUUAAUAGGCUGCCCCAGGUGAUUCUGAUAUAGCUCGUGCAGCAUGCUUUGCUGGGUGGUACAACAGGGUAAUGUCAGAGAGGACGGAGGAAGAGAUUUCUGGCUGUUGCUAUUUGUUAGAGGCUGACUUCUGAUGUUGAUGCAAUAGACCCUGCAAAGCUCUGAGCUGGGCAGGAACAUGGGCCACAUAAGCAGCAUGAAACACAUAAGCUCCAGGACCUACUAUCCCUGGGUUGGGGACGACAUGGAAUGAUGCUCAUAUGAAGAAACUGUGAAGUCAUCUCUCAUUGGGUGGGGUGAAAUUCCAUAGAAUGAGACAGUGCAGACAGCAUCCCCGAUCUAACUUGGGGAUGUGGAUUCCUAACGAAUUGAGCAGUCAUUUAAACUUAGCAAAUGAAAGGAGUGG